rnacentral:lncRNA from 1 species
GGCGCUCUCCAAGAGCACGCUACGGCACCUCACCACAGGGCACCCUCUCCAGAGACCCUUUGCAACCAGGCUGGCUGUUGCUUCAAGGCCAGCAGAAGAAUCACUUCUUUUCAGUUCACCAUGAUAGUCAUAAAUUAUAUUAGCCAGUCAAGAAUGCCGCUUUCCAUAUUCAUCACCUGGUCAUGUUCUCAAGCCUCCAGAUGGUCUCCAAAAGAGUCCUCAUCCAGUGGCUGAUGGAAGCAGAGGCAGACACCCACAGCUAUACACUGAACUGAACUCUGGAACCCAGUUGCAGAGAGGGAGAAACGAAGAUCAAGGGAGUCGGAACCAGGCUGGUAAAUCCCACAGAAACAGCUGGCCUGAACAAGGGGGAGCACAUGGACCCUAGACUGCUGUCUGGAAGACCAUCAAGGGACUGAUCCAGACCCCUGAAAGUGGAUGUCAACAAGGAGACCUCGGCAUCCUAUGAGGCCUCUGGUAGCGGAUCAGCAUUUUUCCCUGAUGUAAGAAGGGACUUUGAGAGCCCAUAUCACGUGAAGGGAUGCUCUCUCGGCCUGGACACAUGGGGGAGGGUCUAGGCUCUGCCCAGGAUGAUGUUAUGGAAUUUGGUGAGCCCCAUGGAGGGCCCUACCCACCC